CCUACGGGAGGCAGCAGUGAGGAAUAUUGGUCAAUGGACGAGAGUCUGAACCAGCCAAGUAGCGUGAAGGAUGACUGCCCUAUGGGUUGUAAACUUCUUUUAUAAAGGAAUAAAACGAGGCACGUGUGCCUUUUUGCAUGUACUUUAUGAAUAAGGAUCGGCUAACUCCGUGCCAGCAGCCGCGGUAAUACGGAGGAUCCGAGCGUUAUCCGGAUUUAUUGGGUUUAAAGGGAGCGUAGAUGGGUUGUUAAGUCAGUUGUGAAAGUUUGCGGCUCAACCGUAAAAUUGCAAUUGAUACUGGCAGUCGUGAGUACAGUUGAGGUAAGCGGAAUUCGUGGUGUAGCGGUGAAAUGCUUAGAUAUCACGAAGAACCCCGAUUGCGAAGGCAGCUUAUUAAACUGUGACUGACAUUGAUGCUCGAAAGUGUGGGUAUCAAACAGGAUUAGAUACCCCUGUAGUC
rnacentral:rRNA from 1 species